AACGUAGGAGACAAACGUUAUCCGGAGUUACUGGGCGUAAAGGGCGUGUAGGUGGUUUCGUAAGUCUGGCGUGAAAUUUUUCGGCUUAACCGGGAAAGGUCGUCGGAUACUGCGGGACUGGAGGACGGUAGAGGCGUGUGGAAUUCCGGGUGUAGUGGUGAAAUGCGUAGAUAUCAGGAGGAACACCGGUGGCGAAGGCGGUCUCGUGGCCGAUGACUGACGC
rnacentral:rRNA from 1 species